rnacentral:tRNA from 1 species
GGAGAGAUGCUCGAGUGGCUGAAGAGGCACGCCUGGAAAGCGUGUAACCGUCCAAAGCGGUUCCCGGGUUCGAAUCCCGGUCUCUCCG